rnacentral:rRNA from 1 species
GACGAACGCUGGCGGCGUGCCUAAUACAUGCAAGUUGAGCGCUGAAGGUUGGUACUUGUACCAACUGGAUGAGCAGCGAACGGGUGAGUAACGCGUGGGGAAUCUGCCUUUGAGCGGGGGACAACAUUUGGAAACGAAUGCUAAUACCGCAUAAAAACUUUAAACACAAGUUUUAAGUUUGAAAGAUGCAAUUGCAUCACUCAAAGAUGAUCCCGCGUUGUAUUAGCUAGUUGGUGAGGUAAAGGCUCACCAAGGCGAUGAUACAUAGCCGACCUGAGAGGGUGAGCGGCCACAUUGGGACUGGGACACGGCCCAAACUCCUACGGGAGGCAGCAGUAGGGAAUCUUCGGCAAUGGACGAAAGUCUGACCGAGCAACGCCGCGUGAGUGAAGAAGGUUUUCGGAUCGUAAAACUCUGUUGGUAGAGAAGAACGUUGGUGAGAGUGGAAAGCUCAUCAAGUGACGGUAACUACCCAGAAAGGGACGGCUAACUACGUG